GCCUGGCUGGCUCAGUUGUUGAGAGCGUGUGACUCUUGAUCUAGGGGGUGUGGGUUCGAGCCCCACCCACGGUG
rnacentral:tRNA from 1 species